UACGUAGGGGGCUAGCGUUGUCCGGAAUCAUUGGGCGUAAAGCGCGUGCAGGCGGCCCGGUAAGUCCGCUGUGAAAGUCGGGGGCUCAACCCUCGGAUGCCGGUGGAUACUGUCGGGCUCGAGUACGGAAGAGGCGAGUGGAAUUCCUGGUGUAGCGGUGAAAUGCGCAGAUAUCAGGAGGAACACCAAUUGCGAAGGCAGCUCGCUGGGACGUUACUGACGCUGAGACGCGAAAGCGUGGGGAGCAAACAGG
rnacentral:rRNA from 1 species